rnacentral:rRNA from 1 species
GCCCUUAUGGCUGUAGUCAGCUCGUGUCGUGAGAUGUUUGGUUAAGUCCAGCAACGAGCGCAACCCUUAUCUUUAGUUGCCAGCGCGUAAUGGCGGGAACUCUAGAGAGACUGCCCGGGUUAACCGGGAGGAAGGCGGGGAUGACGUCAAGUCCUCAUGGCCCUUAUAUCCAGGGCUACACACGUGCUACAAUGGUAAAUACAGAGGGCAGCGAGCCAGUGAUGGUGAGCGAAUCCCUAAAGUUUAUCUCAGUCCGGAUUGGAGUCUGCAACUCGACUCCAUGAAGUUGGAAUCGCUAGUAAUCGCGGAUCAGCAUGCCGCGGUGAAUAUGUUCCCGGCCUUGUACACACCGCCCGUCACACCGUGGAG